rnacentral:rRNA from 1 species
AUUGAGCGCUGGCGGCAUGCCUUACACAUGCAAGUCGAACGGCAGCACGGGGGCAACCCUGGUGGCGAGUGGCGAACGGGUGAGUAAUACAUCGGAACGUGUCCUGUAGUGGGGGAUAGCCCGGCGAAAGCCGGAUUAAUACCGCAUACGCUCUACGGAGGAAAGGGGGGGAUCUUAGGACCUCCCGCUACAGGGGCGGCCGAUGGCAGAUUAGCUAGUUGGUGGGGUAAAGGCCUACCAAGGCGACGAUCUGUAGCUGGUCUGAGAGGACGACCAGCCACACUGGGACUGAGACACGGCCCAGACUCCUACGGGAGGCAGCAGUGGGGAAUUUUGGACAAUGGGGGCAACCCUGAUCCAGCAAUGCCGCGUGUGUGAAGAAGGCCUUCGGGUUGUAAAGCACUUUUGUCCGGAAAGAAAACGCCGUGGUUAAUACCCGUGGCGGAUGACGGUACCGGAAGAAUAAGCACCGGCUAACUACGUGCCAGCAGCCGCGGUAAUACGUAGGGUGCAAGCGUUAAUCGGAAUUACUGGGCGUAAAGCGUGCGCAGGCGGUCCGCUAAGACAGAUGUGAAAUCCCCGGGCUUAACCUGGGAACUGCAUUUGUGACUGGCGGGCUAGAGUAUGGCAGAGGGGGGUAGAAUUCCACGUGUAGCAGUGAAAUGCGUAGAGAUGUGGAGGAAUACCGAUGGCGAAGGCAGCCCCCUGGGCCAAUACUGACGCUCAUGCACGAAAGCGUGGGGAGCAAACAGG